rnacentral:rRNA from 1 species
GAUUAACGCUGGCGGUAUGCCUAAUACAUGCAAGUCGAACGAACUUUUUAGACUUUAGACUUUAGAUAUUGGAAUCUAGUAAUUUAUUUACUAACUUCCAGCUUCUAACCUCUAAUGUCUAAAUCGUUAGUGGCGGACGGGUGAGUAACACGUUGGAACCUGCCCAAAGUAAGGGAUAAGCCACCGAAAGGUGGUCUAAUACCUUAUAGUAUCCACCUCGUAUGGAUUAAAGCUUUAUGCGCUUUGGGAGGGGCCUGCGUUUGAUUAGCUAGUUGGUGAGGUAAAAGCUCACCAAGGCUACGAUCAAUAGCUGGUUUGAGAGGAUGACCAGCCACACGGGAACUGAGACACGGUCCCGACUCCUACGGGGGGCAGCAGUGAGGAAUAUUGCACAAUGGGGGCAACCCUGAUGCAGCAACGCCGCGUGGAGGAUGAAGGCUUCGGUUGUAAACUCCUUUUCUGGGGGAAGAGAACGGACG